AAUUUAUUAAUUAUUUUUUUUUAAAUUUAUUUUUUUUUGUUUAAUAAAAUUAAUUUUAAUUUAUUUAAGUUAAAGUAUAUUYUAUAGAAAUAAUUUUUAAUAAUUAUAKAKAAUUUGUAUUGUAAAAGAAUUUUGAAAUAACAUUUAAAAUUAAAUUUUAAAAAAGUAGACUUUAUUUAUUGUACCUUGUAUAUCAGGGUUUAUUACCUUGAAAAGACUUCCAAAGUCUUCGGAAGUCUUUGGAAGUCUUUGGAGUCAUGGACUAUGUUUCCAUCGAGAGUCAGAAUCGAGUCAGAGUUGAGUUUUGCGCCAAUGAGAAAUGAAAUUAAAGAAGAAAUUUCUGUCUUUUACUCAAAUCUCAUUUCUCAUUGGCGCAAAACUCAACUCUGACUCGAUUCUGACUCUCGAUGGAAUUAUAAUUUAUUAGUUAUUAUUUAACAUUAAUAUUUUAAGGGAUAAGCUUUAAAAUAAAAAUUUAUAAUUAGUUUUUUGAAAAUGUUUUUAUUUAUAUAUGCUUAGAAAUAGUUUUUAUUUUAAAAAUGUUAUAAUUUAAAUAAAUAAAUAAUUAAAAUUUUUUUUGUGUUUAAAAUUUUAUUAAAAUAAAUUAUUUAAUAAAUUAUUAAUUGUAAUAAUGAUAAAAUUAGUAAAUUUUUACUUAUGUUAUUUUUAUUUAUAAUAUAGUAGGUUAAUUAUAGGAAUUCGGCAAAAAUUUAUACCCACCUGUUUAACAAAAACAUGUCUUUUUGAGUUUUAAUUUAAAGUCUAAUCUGCUCUAUGAAUUAAAAUUUAAAUGGCCGCAGUAUCUUGACUGUGCAAAGGUAGCAUAAUAAUUAGUCUUUUAAUUAAAGGCUGGAAUGAAUGAUUUGAUGAGGUAUAAGCUUUCUUUAUUUAAUUAAUAAUUUAAAUUAAUUUUUAAGUUAAAAAGCUUAAAUUUAUUUAAAGGACGAGAAGACCCUAUAGAGUUUAAUAAAUUUAAUUUUAUGGGGUUUUAAUUUAUAUUUGUAAAAUUAUAUUUAUUUUGUUGGGGCGACAAAAAAAUUUAAUAAACUUUUUAAAUUAAAUUUAACAUUAAUUUAUGAAUACUUGAUCCUUUUUAAAAAGAUUUAAAGUUUAAAUUACCUUAGGGAUAACAGCGUUAUUUUUUUUAGAGUUCUUAUCAAUAGAAAAGAUUGCGACCUCGAUGUUGGAUUAAAAUUAAAUUUAGGUGAAGAAGCUUAAAUUUUAGGUCUGUUCGACCUUUAAAAUUUUACAUGAUCUGAGUUCAAACCGGUGUGAGCCAGGUUGGUUUCUAUCCUUAAAAUUUUUAUAAAUUUUUAGUACGAAAGGACCAAAAUUUGAAAUAAUAUUUAAUUUAAAAGAAAAUUAUUAAAUUUAAUUGUUUAUGUAAUAAAAAUUAA
rnacentral:rRNA from 1 species